CCUACGGGUCGCAGCAGUGGGGAAUAUUGCACAAUGGGCGCAAGCCUGAUGCAGCCAUGCCGCGUGUAUGAAGAAGGCCUUCGGGUUGUAAAGUACUUUCAGCGGGGAGGAAGGUGUUGUGGUUAAUAACCGCAGCAAUUGACGUUACUCGCAGAAGAAGCACCGGCUAACUCCGUGCCAGCAGCCGCGGUAAUACGGAGGGUGCAAGCGUUAAUCGGGAUUACUGGGCGUAAAGCGCACGCAGGCGGUCUGUCAAGUCGGAUGUGAAAUCCCCGGGCUCAACCUGGGAACUGCACUCGAAACUGGCAGGCUAGAGUCUCGUAGAGGGGGGUAGAAUUCCAGGUGUAGCGGUGAAAUGCGUAGAGAUCUGGAGGAAUACCGGUGGCGAAGGCGGCCCCCUGGACGAAGACUGACGCUCAGGUGCGAAAGCGUGGGGAGCAAACAGGAUUAGAUACCCUCGUAGUC
rnacentral:rRNA from 1 species